GGGUCAGUAGGUUGGUCGUGCCACCGGUACGUACUGGUCUCACUGAUUCCUCCUUCCUGAAGAACCGUAAUGCCAUUAAUUUGGUGUUGCGGGGAAACAGGACUGUUACUUUGAAAAAAUUAGAGUGUUUAAAGCAAGCUAACGCUUGAAUACAUUAGCAUGAAAUAAUGAAAUAGGACGAUCGAUCCUAUUUUGCUGGUUUCUUGGAUUGACGUA
rnacentral:rRNA from 1 species